rnacentral:lncRNA from 1 species
AAUGCUUUGUAUUGUGCAAAAUAUGUGUUUCCGAAGAAAAAGAUAAACACAAUUAUGCACAAAACAUAUUUUCGAAAAAUAGGUAAGUAUAUAUGUUACAUCCUAUGUACUGCGUGAAAUAUGACAUUCAGCAAGAGAUAAAUAAAGGAGUACAUAUAUUUUAAUAGUGUCCUUUUAAGAAAAAAAAGUUUCCGCAAAAAGAUUCAUUUAGUACAUGUGAAAUACAUCGUAGCUGUCACAUUUAAAGCACAUGGGAGGAGACAGGUCGUGUAUACGUGGAAAAACGUAAAUAAAUAGAAUAAAACAAUAAUAUUAAACAACGGAUACAUGCAAAUUUGUAUAGGAUAUAUCGUAUAUGAUGUGCAACAAAAGUGUUUUGAGUUUUUUUAUAGUAAUAAAUAAUAUUUAAUAAAAGAGAUCUCAUAAUACAAGAGAGGUAACUAAAAAAGAAAGUAUAAUAAUGGAAAAGGGAAAUAUAAAAGGCACAAAGAUCACAAGAGUUAAAAAAUGGAUGGAUACAAAUUCAAUAAAACAUGCAAAUACAAGUUUCAAAAGUAUCCUUUUGGAUUAAAGAUGAGUUCUUAAAGAGAAACUUUCUCUAAUGAAAACUAGCAGAAGGUGAUUAAGAAAGGUAGUGUAUCAAUGGGAAAAGAAAAUUGAGAAAAAUAAAGACAACAUGUUAUGAAAUAGAAGAUUCUUACAUUUCUAUUUAAGGUGAAUGCCUUUAAUGUAUUUAAUUAGAGAGAUUUUAGAGUCCUAUUAUUGG